rnacentral:lncRNA from 1 species
AUCGAGCAGAUAUUGCUGCACUCUAUGUUGGUGUUGUGCAUUACGUACGUGCCACAAGGCCGGCCACAGAUUAACUACGUAUACAACAACACACAUUCGAAAUGACCAUGGGUAGUAGUACCAGAUGCAUACUACGUAUACUACAACACGUACAAGUAUUUUGGAUUACGCUUCUCGCUGAGAAGAGGCGCUCCCACAGCAGCUCGAUCGUCCGUCUGCUCCCUGCAUGGCGAUCGAGGCGGGACCUAAUGCGUGUCUAUUCGUGUGAAACAGGAGCCGCGUCCACAUAAACCACCAUGGCCACCAUAUGCAUGCCUAGCUCUUGCAGGUAUGGUACAGAGAAUAAGGAUCUUGCCGCGCUCUUUACG